rnacentral:rRNA from 1 species
UACAGAGGUGUCAAACGUUGUCCGGAAUUACUGGGCGUAAAGGGCGCGUAGGCGGCCUUAUAAGUCAGAUGUGAAAGCUCUGGGCUCAACCCAGGAAUUGCAUCUGAUACUGUAGGGCUUGAGUUCGGUAGAGGAGGGCGGAAUUCCAGGUGUAGCGGUGAAAUGCGUAGAUAUCUGGAGGAACACCCGUGGCGAAGGCGGCAUCCUGGACCGGCAUUGACGCUGAGGAGCGAAAGCCAGGGGAGCAAACGGG